rnacentral:rRNA from 1 species
CGAGGAGGUAGGGCUUACGCUCGCGUUUGUCUGUUAUAUCUUGGUGGACGAGUUGUCGCGGUUGGGACUGAGGUGCCUACAACGUGCUUUUGAGUGAGUUUGUGUCUCCGUGUGCGCCGUGUGCGGAUAGCUUGCUAUGUAUGUGCGGUUGUGUGUGGAUUGAUGCGGGCUUUAACUUGUCGCCGUUCGGGACGUUGGCGAAAUGGAGCGAUCCGACCCGUCUUGAAACACGGACCAAGGAGUCUAACAUGUGUGCAAGUGUUAGGGUGUGGAAACCCCAGCGCGAAAUGAAAGUGAAGGGCAGCGCAAGUUGUCUGAGGUAGGAAACGUUGUGGACUUCGGUCUGCGGCGUGGCACUAUCGACCGAUCAUGAACCUUCGUGGUGAAAGAUUUGAGUUUGAGCACAUAUGUUGGUACCCGAAAGAUGGUGAACUAUGCCUGAGUAGGGUGAAGCCAGGGGAAACUCUGGUGGAAGCUCGUAGCGAUUCUGACGUGCAAAUCGAUCGUCAAACUUGGGUAUAGGGGCGAAAGACUAAUCGAACCAUCUAGUAGCUGGUUCCCUCCGAAAUUUCCCUCAGGAUAGCAGCAACUUAUUUACGAUAGUUUUAUGAGGUAAAGCGAAUGAUUAGAGGAUUCGGGGAAGAAACUUCCUCGACCUAUUCUCAAACUUUAAAUCUGUAAGACCUGCAGGUUUCUUAAU